rnacentral:tRNA from 1 species
GGGCGCGUAGCUCAGGGGGAGAGCGCUUGCUUGACACGCAAGAGGUCGGUGGUUCGAUACCACCCGUGCCCACCA